rnacentral:tRNA from 1 species
GGUGAUGUAGCUUAGCUGGCAAAGCGCUUGCCUUGGAAUGCGAUUCAAAUGGUUCUCAUUCCAAGUAAGAGAUGGGGGUUCGAGUCUCUCCUUUACCU